rnacentral:lncRNA from 1 species
CGGGGGCCGUGCCCCGGCGGCCCGAGGCCCGGCCGGGAAAGUUUGUGGCGUGCCCGGCGCGGCCCGGGGGGGAGCUGGCGGCGCCAGAACAAAGCGGCACAUGGGGCAGGGGCCGCGGCGGCUCGGGGGCUCCGUUCGCCGCCCACGCCCAGCUCGGGAACGGCAGCGGCGGUAACGCGGGAGGUGGAGGCGGCGGGGAGGGGCCGGGGGGGCUCUCGGGGAGUUCCCGGCGGAGGCGCUUUGUGCUCCGCCGCCCCCCCCGGGGGAGGGGGCGCGGGGCCCCGGGGAGGGGGCAGCGCCGCGGGCUGCGAGCGCGUCCCGGGCCCCUCCGCGUGGGCUUUUGUUCGCAGAGGGGCGGGGGCGGCGGGCCCUCCUCUUCCUCCCCCCCUCCGGGCCGCGCUCCUCGGCGGCGUGGGAGAGCGGGCGGUGGGGGCGCGGGCUCCCGCCUCCCCCGGGCGGGCGCGGGAGAGAGGGGCCGUGGGCUGCGGGAGGGCCCCGCGCUGCCCGAGAGCCGCGGGCUUCGUUACGAAAUCGGCGCGGCGGCAGCUGCGGGGCCUCGGCGGCGCCAUGUUGCUGGGGAGGGGGAGGAGGCGGGGGACAUGGCGGCGGCUGCGUGCUGGGGCCGAUUGUUCCCUGUUAGGCCCGGAGCCGCGUGUGGGCAGCGGCGGCCCGGGGAGCCGCUUCCCCUCCCCCCGCCGCGGCUCUUUCCCAUCCGGGCGGCCCUCGGGAGCGGGCGGGCCCGGCCCCUUCCCCUCCGCUUGGGCCGCGGGGCUCGGCGGGCCCGGUCUGGCGGUGGGGGGCGGGGGGUCGGCACGCCGUAGCCGGGCUGUGACCUCCGCGGCGGUGGUGGCGGCGCCCCCUGGCGGACGCGCGGCGCACGGCUGCCUGUGUUCUCGCAGGAACACGUGCUGCGCCGUGAGGGGCGCGGGCCCGGCCGGGAAGGGGCCUGCGGCACAUGGCCCGCGGCCGCGGCCUCCCCGCGCCUCCCGUGGGCCGCGCUGGGCGGGAGGGAGAGCGCCGGGAAGCGACCCAAAGCGAGUAACUCGGUGGUAUUUUCGCAGUAUCGACGUGUGCGGCAGAAAAUACAGGAGCUUGUUGUGGAUGUUGCAGUGGAGUGUUCGUGGGGAAAGUUGCUUUUCACAGGAAAUGCAGGAACAAAGUAAACAACAUAUCUUGAAUUACUAA